rnacentral:rRNA from 1 species
GACGAACGCUGGCGGCGCGCUUAACACAUGCAAGUCGAGCGAGAACCCUCCUUCGGGAGGGGGAAAGCGGCGAACGGGUGAGUAACACGUGGGUAAUCCACCCUCGGCACCGGGAUAGCCCGGGGAAACCCGGAUUAAUACCGGAUGGCCCAGCAGCUCCUCGGAGCGGUUGGAAAAGGUAGCUUCGGCCUCCGGCCGAGGACGAGCCCGCGGCGGAUUAGCUUGUUGGUGGGGUAACGGCCCACCAAGGCGACGAUCCGUAGCUGGUCUGAGAGGACGAUCAGCCACACUGGGACUGAGACACGGCCCAGACUCCUACGGGAGGCAGCAGUGGGGAAUCUUGCGCAAUGGGCGAAAGCCUGACGCAGCGACGCCGCGUGAGGGAAGAAGGCUUUCGGGUUGUAAACCUCUUUCAGGAGGGACGAAGCCACUCGGGUUAAUAGCCCAGAGGGUGACGGUACCUCCAGAAGAAGCCCCGGCUAACUACGUGCCAGCAGCCGCGGUAAG